CUGUAAUGUACCCUAAAGAAAAGACACAAGCAUGGCAAUUAAGUUUCGAUGGAAACAAAUUAACACAUGUAAAACUUGAGCUUCGAUGGCAAAAGACAUAAUUUGAUUGUCAUGAACUAUACAUUUUGGGGGUGUCCAUGAACUAUAGUUUCCUAGAAUUGCCAAGGAAAUCUAGUCCAUUAGCAUCUCAUCACCUGCAAAAAAGUGCCUACACAAAUAACUACACAAUGCUAAAUGUCGACAUCUACAAAAAUUUGCAAACAAAAAAAUUGUGGGAGCUAGUAAAAAAAUGGCAACAUCUACAAAGAAAUCGUCACGAUUUAUUGAGAAGAACAUCUAUAAAUUGCCAUGAAAAAAAAGUACUACUCAAAGCUUCAGGGACAUGGUAAAAAACAUAUGCCAUGACAAUGCAAAACAGUAUUUCGACAUGGCAACAUACUUUGUGUUUUCCAUGCAACAUACUAUGAUGCAAUGGUAAAAUAAUAUUUAAAUUGGGAUGGCAGCAAAAGUUGGGUUGACAUGGCAACAUAUUUUGUGUUUGCAUGGCAAAAAACAUAUUUUGACACGCCAUCAACUAUAAUCUCAAAAAAAGAUUGGCAUGCAGUAUUUGUCAAAUAGCAUCACAACAAAAAGUAAAACAGUUCUCUGCAAAUUCAUGAACGACUGAGAAAAAAUGAAUCACACAAAAUUUGCAACAUACGAACUGGGCUAAAUCACCAUCAGUGCUAAGCUAGUGACAUAAAACUGAACCUGUUCAGGAAGACUAUCUUCAACUGACGGCAUCCAAGCGGCCGGAGAAGAUGAUGAGGAUGUGCCCGUUGCCCAUGGGCAGCGUAUGGUCGCUGUGCUAGGAGAAGCCGAUGCCCUGGCGCAGGAUGGCGGAGCCUCCGGGCGGCCUCGCAUCGGACGAGGUCGGCGGGAGAAGCCGUCGCCGUGGAGGGCUUCGCGGCGCACGAUGGCGUCCUCGCCUCCGGGCGGCUGCGCAUCGGACGAGAUCGGCGGAAGAAGCUGUCGCCGUGGAGGGCGCCGCGCCGCAGGAUGCCGUUGUCGCCUCCGGGCGGCCGCGCAUCAGAUGAGGUCGGCGGGAGAAGCCGGCGCCGUGGCGGCCGCCGCGACUGGCUCAAGCCGCCCUCUUCCGGAUCUCCCACGUUCGUCGUCGUCCCGUGCUCGCCGCCGAAGGGUCCGGCCUCCCCUGCCUCGCCUGCCCGCCGGCGUCCCCAACCUCCAGCACGGGUGGGCGUUGACCUAGCGCCCGCCCCGCUCGCUGGCCUCAUCUCGUGCGCGUGGACGCAGGUGUCCUCGAGGCCCAGCUCCCGCCCCAGCCGCUCCGGCCCGCCUCCGCCGCGCGACGCCAUGAUUCGGCCGGCCGUCUUCUAAUCCGGCGAUGAAAAGGGAGAGUGGGGGAGUGGUGUCGAGUGGGAGGGGAAUGGAGC
rnacentral:rRNA from 1 species